GGUUCCAUUGGUUCACAAAGAUUCUUUGAAGGGCAACCAUGCGGUAGCAGGAACUGAAGAAGCAAUGGAUAGAUACAACAUAGUGAGCGAGAAAAGAAGAUAACGAGAAAAACUAUUGUUCCUGUAGUAUUUUAUGUUGUUCAAUUUUGUGUUUUUUAGUCCUCCCUUUAAGAAUUUCACAUAUGAUUUCACAUGUGAAACACUCUCUCCUUCGCAGAGCCUCCUGAAUAAAAGUGAGCGCGCAGUGUGAUGGGAAGAUUGAAAUAAAGUCGAGAAGGCUUUGCCACAUAAUGCAACGACGUAUGGUUUUUGAAUCAAACCAGCUAUUUGACCUUUUCUUAAACUUGAAAUCGACGGAAAUGUGGAAGAAAUUGAAAUAAAUCUUCAUAAUCUGAGUAUCGAAGUUCAGCAGAGUCACUCCUAUUAGUCCUAUAAAGAAAUGUUGCAAUUUAGAGGAUAUUUAUAGUUAGAUACCUUAUAUUCAUUUGCAAUUUCUCAAUAUAUUUUUCGGUGCAAAUGGAUGAAGAAGAUAUUGACAUUGGAUUCAUUCCAGGAGAUUCAAGUACGCCUGAAAAGGAAAGUGGAAAACAUGUUUUAACACCCUCGAAGGUUGAUAUCGAACCGAACUCCAAACGAUUAUAUACGAUGCCAUAUUGAUUGCAUAUUUAACUAGCAGAAGCUUCCUUUAUUUCGCUCUUCCCAUUACUCCUUGCGUUCACUUUUCCUUCACUAGAAACUUCAUGUAAGCCUCUGCGGAGGAAAGAGUGUGAAACAUGCGAAGUGUUCCAAUUCCACAAAAGAAAUAAUUAUUUCACAUGUGAAAUUAAUUUUCAAUUAUUAUAAACCUUUACCUCACAUGUAAAACUUAUAUUUCAAAGUAUGUGAAACUCAAUUCAUAUGUAAAAUUCUAAAUUUCACUUACGAAAUGACUGAACAUUUUCACAUGUACAAUGUUCCAGCAAAGCACAUAAAACGGUUUAUAUGUAUAAAAUGAUAAUUAUGUGAAUUUUCCCAAGGGCUAUCUUACUUUCACGUCCUUUACUAUGUCUGUGCUAUAAAUAUGAAAUCUUGCGUUGAAUCUGAAAUUUCUUUGUUCUAGAACUCACGCAGUCCACGAAAUUCAAAUGAAGAAGAUAUCAUAAUGAAAAACUCAGAUGAGGUU